rnacentral:rRNA from 1 species
UACGUAGGGUGCAAGCGUUGCCCGGAUUUAUUGGGCGUAAAGGGCGCGUAGGCGGCUCUGCACGUUCGUUGUGAAAUCGCCCGGCUCAACUGGGCGGGGUCAGCGGAUACGGCAGAGCUUGAGCAAGCUAGGGGGCAAUGGAAUUCCCGGUGUAGUGGUGGAAUGCGUAGAUAUCGGGAGGAACACCAGUGGCGAAGGCGCCCUUCUGGACGGCAACUGACGCUGAGACGCGAAAGCGUGGGGAGCAAACAGG